rnacentral:rRNA from 1 species
AUCGAACGCUGGCGGCAUGCUUUACACAUGCAAGUCGAACGGUAACAGCUCUUCGGUUGCUGACGAGUGGCGAACGGGUGAGUAAUACAUAGGAACGUGCCCGAUCGUGGGGGUUAAGGUGGCGCAAGCUUUCCUGAUACCGUAUACGAUCUACGGUUGAAAGCGGGGGAUCUUCGGACCUCGCGCGGCCGGAGCGGCAGAUGGCAGAUGCGGUAGUUGGUGGGAUAAGAGCUUACCAAGCCGACGAUCUGUAGCUGGUCUGAGCGGAUGAUCAGCCACACUAGGGCGUAGACACGGCCCAGACUCCUACGGGAGGCAGCAGUGGGGAAUUUUGGACAAUGGGCGAGAGCCUGAUCCAGCCAUGCCGCGUGCAGGAUGAAGACGUUCGGGGUGUGAACUGCUUUUGUACGGAACGAAAAGCUUCUUUCUGAUAAAGAGGGUUCAUGACGGUACCGUGAAAAUAAGCACCGGCUAACUACGUG